AAAAAAAAAAGUCACUGUUCUGCUCCAGAGUGCAUGUUUGAGAAGGACUGGAUAUACAGUGCCUUUGCUCUUGCUGCUGUAGAUGUAGGUGAAUGUGGAUAUGGACACUGGAGUCAUAAAAGUUGAAGUCUGAACACAGGGACACUGGCAAAGAGACUGAGAAAUGAAUAGGCAAAGUCAUCACUGUAGCUUGUGAGGCUACCCCAGAAAACCCUUCUCUGAGGAGAUGUCACUGGAGCACAAGGAUGAAUGACUAAUCCAUCCCUGCCAAAAGCAUCUCCUGCUGAUUACAGGUCAUGUGUGCUGCCUGCUUGCCUCAUGAGCUACAUUGUGAAUAAAAAAU